rnacentral:rRNA from 1 species
CCUACGGGAGGCAGCAGUGGGGAAUAUUGGACAAUGGGCGCAAGCCUGAUCCAGCAAUGCCGCGUGAGUGUUGAAGGCCUUCGGGUUGUAAAGCUCUUUCGCACGCGACGAUGAUGACGGUAGCGUGAGAAGAAGCCCCGGCUAACUUCGUGCCAGCAGCCGCGGUAAUA